CACACACUAAUACCAUUUUGUCUCUGAAUUAUCUGGCAGACAUUCCUGUUGAUACUCUCAGUUUAUGUAAAAUUGAUACAUAUGUUGCAUUCUCAAUUCUGUCAACGUGCUGUUUGUAAUACAUGUAAUUGAUUAGAGGAAGGCAGACGGAUAUGCAAAGUUCCCAGCACUAAGACAAUACGAUGCAUCUGUGGUUGGAAUUUACCCAGGUCAAGUUACUUAUUAUGUAUUUAUGUCCUGAGGAAACUGAAAUGAACUGAAACGUUGACAACUAUAUUGGAAUAAACCG